rfam:Volvox carteri f. nagariensis unplaced genomic scaffold VOLCAscaffold_49, whole genome shotgun sequence.
GUUAGAACUCACCCACCCAUCCACCCGGGGCGGCAUAUCUGUUAAAAGAUAACGCAGGUGCCCUAAGAUGAGCUCAACGAGAACAGAAACCUCGUGUAGAACUAAAGGGUGAAAGCUUCUUUGAUUUUGAUUUUCAGUAUGAAUACAAACUGUGAAAGCAUGGCCUAUUGAUCCUUUAGCCUUUCGGAAUUCGAAGCUAGAGGUGUCAGAAAAAU